rnacentral:rRNA from 1 species
UACGGGGGGGGCAAGCGUUGUUCGGAAUUACUGGGCGUAAAGGGCUCGUAGGCGGCCAACUAAGUCGGAUGUGAAAUCCCCAGGCUUAACCUGGGAACUGCAUCCGAUACUGGAUGGCUUGAAUCCGGGAGAGGGAUGCAGAAUUCCAGAUGUAGCGGUGAAAUGCGUAGAUAUCAGGAGGAACACCGGUGGCGAAGGCGGGUCUCUGGGCCGAUACUGACGCUGAGGAGCGAAAGCGUGGGGAGCGAACAGG